AGGGUUUCUUUCCAAAUGAAUUUAGAGAUAAAUUCAUUUUCUUUGCCAAUACCUAUAAAAAUGAAAACCUUGAACGAUUUUAGUAUUCUACACCCAUCCCUCCCUGUGAAAUUUAUGGCAGUUUUGGGUCCCUCUGGGAGACGACAUCCAGCAUGUCAUGCUGGACUGUUCUAGAGAGUAAUUUUCAAAUGUAAGCUUAGCAAAGUUUGAAUUGACUUGAACAGAGAUAAAAACUACAAGUGAACACCUACACCUGCCUACAAAGAGCUAACAAGCCCCUGGCAGCUGCCAGCAUCAAAGCACAGCGGAUGUCUCUAAUACAGGUCUCUGUAUCUUCUUGGACAGCACCGAGCUCGAGGACAAGGAUACGAGAGUCUUUCCCUGCCGGACGGAGAGAACCAGGAAAAAAGUUAAAAUAAGAACAGGGCAGUUUGAAAUUCAUACUUGCAACGAGAGGCAGCGCCUAACCAACAGAACAAAAGUAAACGAAGCAUGAUACCUCCCUGGGGACAGAAGACUUACAAACUCUCCAGGAUUUACAAUUCUAGCGACCAACCCCUUCAGGACAGCAGCCAAGUGUCCCAUGGGGUGGUGCUGCACCAAAGAACCAUCUGAGAGGUUCCAAAGAGUGAAAUGCACAAUAUUUUGCAAAGACAAAAAAUCCUGCAAAAUAACAAAAAUACAAUAGAUGUAAACUACAGGGCAAGAGUACAAGUGUUACCUUUGGCAGCUGGAACCAUCCAGGUGAGCACCUGAUAACUGGAUCCUCACCAGAGUUUGAACCCUUCAGGACACAGAAGGGUUUUCCCCAGAAAUUUCACAAACUGAGUUUUGACAGAAGCACGCUCGCCGGAUCCUCAGAAACGUCACCCAUUCUCCAGGUGUCUGGAGAGAACUGCAAAUGGCUCUCACGUAGUUGGAGCUGGUUCUAUAAGGUCUCAGGGUGAAUUUCACCAGAUGCAACUGAAUUGGGCAACUCCCAGUGAGACAGAAGGAACCCAAAGCUUGUUUUACCCAAACCUUGGGUAAGCACAGCUCCAGCAAAUACUGAGGAAACAGACAUAACAGGGUAAAAAUAAUAAAACUAUUGCUUUUUCUUUAAUCUUGCCUUUUUUUUUUUUAUUCAGAUGAGCAAAACAAUGAAGGAGAAGGUGAAAAACUCACCAUUACUGAACAUUUCAUCAUCUGUAAGCUGAGCAUCCUUAGCAUAGAGGACUCCAGAGUUAAAAUUCACUGAUCCCUGGGAAAUAAAACCAAAUAUAUGACAAACAGUCAAACAGAAGGCAUAAAAAUUUGUUUCCUCUACGGACUUUCAAGUAUGUAUCUUUGUAUAUAUCCUACACAUUACAACAUACACUUUAUACCAUCUCCUAAUAUAUAAUAAUUUACCUUUAAACUUUGAUAGUAUAGUGUGGAGAAAUGGCUCCAUGACAGAGGUCACGCAGACAUUCGCUCGUUAGUCGACCAGGAGCUGGGAAAGUACCGAACACAGGUAUUUUUGAGUUUUGCACCUGCAAGAUAGCGUGUGCCUGGGCCUAGCUGGGUAGGAUAACAAGUAGACAGAGAGACGUGGGAAAUAGGGAAUGUAGGCCCAAAGGAAUGAGGAAGAGUUGAUGGUAUAGUUUAACCAAUAGAUCGCUUGGCUUACAGAAUAUUCAUAAGCUUAUUAUGUGCUAUAUAAGUGUCUGAUACUCUCUGCAAUAAACAUAGCUUGCUGAUCUCA